CCAACCUGCCGUCUACUCUUGGACAGCCUUCUGAAGGAAGAUUAAUACAAGAUGGCAUCAUGAGUCCGCAUGUUCACAUGAUUAAAGGUAUUCCGGUAGACGAUGGGGAUGCGUCCCAUUAGAUAGUAGGCGGGGUAACGGCCCACCUAGUCUUCGAUGGAUAGGGGUUCUGAGAGGAAGGUCCCCCACAUUGGAACUGAGACACGGUCCAAACUCCUACGGGAGGCAGCAUG
rnacentral:rRNA from 1 species